UACGUAGGGUGCGAGCGUUAAUCGGAAUUACUGGGCGUAAAGCGUGCGCAGGCGGUUAUUUAAGACAGAUGUGAAAUCCCCGGGCUUAACCUGGGAACCGCAUUUGUGACUGCAUAGCUGGAGUACGGCAGAGGGGGAUGGAAUUCCGCGUGUAGCAGUGAAAUGCGUAGAUAUGCGGAGGAACACCGAUGGCGAAGGCAGUCCCCUGGGCCUGUACUGACGCUCAUGCACGAAAGCGUGGGGAGCAAACAGG
rnacentral:rRNA from 1 species